rnacentral:lncRNA from 1 species
AGUUGGGUUCAGUUUCAGUUCCAUAUCAAUUACAGUUUUACGGGUUUCAAGUCCCUUCAAAGCAUGCUUCUUAGCAUACCUCAUUAAAGAUAGGGAAAUUGGAUGUUGCCAGAAAAUCAAACAUGUCAGGUUCGUUUUUGUGAAUUCCUAGGAAUCCAAAUACAAUAUCCACUUGAACCAAAAGAACCAUGGUCCCAACUCUCCAGUCUCUCUUUUCUUGACAUACACAGGACGAGGGAUCAGCUCUUAUAUGUUGAAUAGAACUAUAGAAGUGUCCUUCGGGAGUAGAUGACUUGAAUUCUUAUUUAUCAUAGUAUAAAUUCACUUAUUUUUCUUUCUCUCGAGAACACACCUUUUUUCAUGCCCUUGAUGGGGUGGGCAAAACUUUCUUACAGUAUUUUAAAGGUGGUUGCACGAUGUUUGCAGUCAUGGGACUGCAUAUUGCUUAGCAAAAGACAGAUACAUAGAAAAAUAAAUAGAAUAUCAAAAUAAAUUAAAGGAGUUAAAGAAAAAAAACAUAGGUAAGUGUAACAUGGACAUGUUAACUCGUUACAUUAAAAAAUCAAUAAUAUUAUCCAAUAAUAUUAAUUAAUAAAAAUAGUCCAUAACUUAAGUUACUGCAACAAGCAAAUCUACCAAAUGACACAUAAUAUUUAAAACAAAAUAGUAAGAAGAAAUCAAUCAAAUUUAUAGUCUAUAGCUAAGAUGUUUGAACACCUAUGAGAAAGAAAUGGGGGUUAUAAUUUGUUUGGCCAACACACCCAAAGCCAAAAUCUAGCCAAAAUAUACCAUCCAAGACCCUUCUACACUACUCAGACCUAAAUGGGCUGCUUAGAUACCCGCCAGACCAUCGGACCAUACAUAGUUGGGCCCUAAGUAGGGUGGUCGAAGGACUACCAGCCAGGCAGUUCAAGUGCCUGCUCCUUAAAACAAUACUUUCUUCCCCUCUUUUCUCACUUGGGUUUCAAUGAAUCAUUACUGCAUCUCAAAGGAGUGGAACAAUAAUUAUUUUUGGGUGCUUAAGACAAGUAACUACUUCAGAAGCCUUAAGCUAGUAGCAUUGUCCAACCACUGCUCAUAACACCAAGAGAUCUUGGUUCUUUCUUAACCAUAGCUAUAAGCAGCAUUUCUUUGUCCAAUUAUUAUAUACCCUAGCUUGUCAUUUAGUCCUAUAUCUAGAGGAUCUUCAAAAAGGAUACUUGCCCUUGAGCUUGGAUUCUUUGUGUCCAUUUCUCUAUUACUUUCUGCUUUAUAUGACUCCCAUUGGUCCACAUCAAAGCCAUAUAUCUUUGUUGGUCCCACCAGCCUCCCAUCUAAUGCUUGCAAAUGGGGUCUUUCUCCUGUUAAAACAGAGAAGAAAAAAAUUGAAUAAAAAGAAUGAGGCAAGGCAACGGCUAUCUCUCAAUCAACGAUCAUCCUCCUCGGCCGCCCUCUCGAACUCUAUCAAAGUCCCAAGUUACCCAAGAUCAUGGAGGCUAUGGGAGCUUGGUGGGGUCUCCAGUGAGGAUGGUUAGUGGUGUCUCUCUCCGACAAGGAGACAUAGGCCACUAGCAACUCUGCCUGCUCCCCUCCUCAAGUCUCCUUUUUAGAAGAUUUAGAUUUAGAUUCAGAUCUCUCCCUCUCCUCCCCUUCACGUCAGCCACCCCUCUUCCCUUUGCCCCCUUGCUCGACUUGAACCCUAACCCCAAGCCUAGCUUCAAUCCCUCCUAGAUCUUCACCUGUUGUGAGGGAUCAAUUCUACCUCGGCGCCCCUAACAAUCCCUCCCUCAAUGCCACCCUCUCCUGCCUCCGCCUCCUCUCCCCAAGUCAUUCAUUCUCCAUACACUCCGCCACUGCCCCCAACUAACCAUUAUCAGGCCCUUUGCCCCACUCCUCUACCUUUGCCUCUGCUUCUUUGACUAGUUUGGCCACCAACCCUACCAAUGCCACCCUUGCACUACCUACAAUGCCUCGUUGUCUUCCAUCUUCCACCUCUAUGAGUCCCACAUCACCAGCUAUGACAUCGCUGGCAAACCCAAGCUCGCCCUCUAGCUUUUCGACCACAUGUGCUUCCAUAACCUCUACCUCAAUGCCUUCUCCAAUCAUACCCUCCCCAACUCCCUCAUUGAGGCCUCCAGCUUUGACUUCACUAACUCCAUCUUCAUCCAUGUCGCCACCCACAGCCUCGUCAACCACAUCACUACAUGCAUCAAUGAAGACCUUUUGCUGCCAGGGCCACCUCAACCAUGCCGAGGCCUACCUCACCACCACAAAAGCUCCCACAUUUCUGACUACUGCAUUGCCGAUAGUUGAAUAGUGGCAAAGGAGGAUGAUCGGCAAUCGGAGAGACGGCUGUGCGGAGAAGCCCCCCUCAAAUCAGUGUCAUGCUCUUACCCUUCUUGUCCUCUUUGUUUCUCUUUUAUUUUCUUUUUCAAUUUUUUUGAUGGGAGAAAGGAUGAUGUUUGCAAGCAUUAGACCGGAGGCUGGUGGGGCCUAACAAAGAAACGCGGCUUCGACAUGGACCAAUGAGAGCCGCGAAACAUAGAAUGUAACAGGAAAGCAGGCAUAGAGAAUUCACACUCCUUGCCCUCGCCGGUUAGGUUAGAGUUUUAUCUUAACAAAGGGAAUGAAUCAAAUAAAACAAAUCAAAUAUCUUCUCUGAAAAUUUCUCAAGAACAAAAUGGAUAUGAAGUGAAGGUACCAGUUCAUAGGACCCUUCAUCACUUAAAAAUGUGAUGACACAGCUUGUAAGUCUUCUUUACUGAAUUAAUUCCAACUCCAUGUUUUUGUACUUACAAUUAUCCACCACAACACCUUCUAUGCUCAUCUUUUGGUGCAUCCAUCUUUUGCUUUGUCCACCAUGCCAAUCCAAAUAGUAAAACCAAAACUAUCACCAUUUGAAGAGAUGGAGAGUUGCAAUUAGGUUUUAUAGGCAUGCAAUAAUGGGACACUACGGACAUGCGCCAUCCUUCCUGUAAUCAAGACCAUCAGUUGAGUAGAUUCUCAUCUAUUAUCCCUACUUCUUCGUAUUAGCCACAUCUUUCUGUCUGACUCAAAUGGAUAUUACAAAACAGAAUACCAUACUCAUAAACUAUUGGUUUUAUAUAAUCCAUUGUUUCUGUUCGACGUGAUAUGGUUUAUUUAUAUAAUUAACCUCUAAGACCCGUCUACUUAGAAGCAAUUCAUCGGUAACUUCAACUUUAAAUCCAUUCUCUGAUCACAUGUAUAUAUUAGCAGCUACUAACCAGUUAUGAAAGACAAGCACAGAGACAAGAUUUAUGGAACUAGUCAAAUCAACAGCCACCCAACUGAGAGAAUACGAGAUCCUCCCUUCCACAUCUCCCGACAAACAGUACGUUUACGAUGCAAUAAAAGGAAAUAAAUCCAAAUCAAAAUUAUCCAUAGACUAAGCUAUCUUGCAAAUAAUGAAUCCUGAUAGAGAACUCCGGUGUUUUGUAAGAUUAGAAACAGAGAAGGAACCCCCCCAAAACCCUACUUUACGAAACGAAUA